AUCUACGACCAAAUCACCCUCAACGCUCCCGAUCUUGCCUGAUCUCGGAAGCCAAGCAAGGUUGAUUCUGGUUCGCACUUGAAUGGGAGACUGCCUAGGAAUGCCAGGUAUUGUAGGUG
rnacentral:rRNA from 1 species